UACGUAGGUGGCAAGCGUUGUCCGGAAUUAUUGGGCGUAAAGCGCGCGCAGGCGGUCCUUUAAGUCUGAUGUGAAAGCCCACGGCUCAACCGUGGAGGGUCAUUGGAAACUGGAGGGCUUGAGUACAGAAGAGGAAAGCGGAAUUCCACGUGUAGCGGUGAAAUGCGUAGAGAUGUGGAGGAACACCAAUGGCGAAGGCAGCUCGCUGGAACGGUACUGACGCUGAGGCGCGAAAGUGUGGGGAGCGAACAGG
rnacentral:rRNA from 1 species